GUCUAUUUGCGAAAUAAAUUUUUUAAAAGGAUCAAAAUGUGAAAAAUCCAGAGCACUAGGGACCAAGCUUCGGCACAGCCGCCACCUCACCUCCACGGCUUUGCCCAAUGGCCGUCGUGACGCCUCAUCUACGCUGGCACGAGAGAAAUACGAGGAGGAAUAGUACGUCGGGCGGCCCGACUCAGGCCCUCCAUUGGCAAGUUGCUUUGGCUGGCCAAAUUUAGCUAGUAAAGGGAGAGAUUAGGCCAGUUGUUAAUGAGGUUGUUUGAGCACGAAUUUUUUUCUAGAAUUACCAAAAUUUAGUUUGGAGAGUUACUUGAAGAGGCUAUUAGAGACACUCUUACUUGUACGAGAAGUCUUCUGCGGCACAGAACAAAUAUAUACUUUCUUCGUUUUAUAUUAUAAGUUGCUUUCGCUUUUUUUAGUUAAGUGUUUUUAAAUUUAACCAAGUUUUAAAAAUAUAUAGUAUCAUUUUCAAUAAAAACAAACAUUUUAUAAAAUAUAUUAAAUAUUAAUUUAGUGAAACUAAUGUGAUGUUACAAUGUUACUAAACUUUUCUUGCCUAGGAAAAAAAAUCAAAAGAGCUGUCCCCAAGGCUUCAGGUACUGUAGUAGAAUUGUCACCGUCAAUCCGGCCGUCAGCUAUAUCUGCCACCCAUUUGUACCCCUGCAUCCUAUGAUCCCAUUUGCUACAAGCCUGCUUGGAAGGUUUAUAACUGGUAAAAAAAGGUGUAAAUUACAGGCGGUUAAGAAAUUUCGGACAAGGACUCGAAAGAGUGCUUGGAUGAAUCAACGGAAAAGCGUAACGGAAAAGCGUGACCCUUUGAGACCACAAUUUUAUUAGGGCAUUUGUAAAAUUGCCCCUGGUCUUUUCAAACUUCCACUACAAAAUGAAAGUAAAAUAACAAAAAGAAACCACUCUUUAGUCUGGUUGAGAUAAUUUAGAUUCGACUUUUGAAAUUAAUUUAUCGCAAUAUAUAGUUUUAUCGAUUAUACUGAAUUUUAUAUUAGGCUACAAGCAAACAUUGAUCCUUUCCCUAUACUCAUAUAAUAAUUGAUAUCAUAUAAUAAUUGAUAUUAAUGGACCUUAAAUAGUACUCCCUCCAUCCCAUAAUAUAAGGGAUUUUAACUUUUUGCUUGAUCUGUUUGAUCAUUUGUCUUAUUCAAAAAAUUUUAGAAUUAUUAUUUAUUUUAAAGAAAAACCGGCACCUAUACUAUAUAUCCGGUUAUUUGAAAAAAACAAAACCUUUAAUUUAUUAAAGGUGUAAAAAACGACACCUAUUGUAAACGAGCCGAGCUCGGUGGGUGUCUUUUUCUCCACCGGCUCUCUCUCCCAUUCUCUCUCCCUUAUCUCUUCUUCUCAUCCUCCCACUAGCUCUCUGCCACUUUCUCUCCCUUAUCGCUUCUUCUCCUCCUCCCUUAUCUCUUCUUCUUCUACCAGCUCUGUGGCGGUAGGCGGUGGGCUCGCGGCGGUAGGCUCGCUGGGGUGAGGCGGCGGUCUAGGUGGCAGUCUCGUUGGGGGUAGGCGGCAGCAGGCGGCGGGCUUGCCUAGGGGAGGCGGCGGCGAAAGGUGGAGAAGCCCCUCCCCUUUGCUAGAUCCGGCGGGAGGGGAGGCGGCAGCAGAGGGGCAGCGGGGCUCGCAGAUGGAGGCGGCGGCGGUCUCGCCAGGGGUAUGCGGCGGGUUCACCGGGGGAGGCGGAGCGACAGCUCGAAGACGACGACUAUGGCGGUGGCUACACAACCGUGCGACGACAACGAUGUCGGGACAACGGCAGAGUGGUCUGGAUUCUUUUUUUUUUAUUAUUGCUAAGAUCUGGGAUGAAUUUGAGGGUUAAAAUUUGUGUUGUGGAUGAAUGGAUUGAUAUGUGGAUGAAUCCAUCUGUGGAUUUUUUAUUGCCAAGAUCUGGGAGGAAUUUGAUUGUCAAAAUUUGUGUUGUGGAUGAAUCGAUCUGUGGAUUGGAUAUGUGAUGGAUAGAUGAUGAUAUGCUAGUUCUUGUUGUGGUGUGGAUGAAUGUUUGAGGAGGGACUGCUCUGCUCAAUGUGACGAGCUAAUGCGUUGAGCCGAUUUUUCAUUAUUUGUGGAACCUCAAAGGUGUCGGUUCUUAGACCCCGGCAUCUAUUUCUUUUCUUAUUAGUGUCGCCUUCGUGGUGCUGGUUGGGAAAACCGGAACCUAUGGGGGUUUCCCAACCGGCACCUAUUUGUGUUUCUGUAGUAGUGUUAGUCCAAAUUAUUUGCUUCAGUAACAUUCUUGAGUUGGUUGUUGUGG
rnacentral:sRNA from 1 species